UCCUGGUUAGCUCAGUUGGCAGAGCGCGCCGCCGGGAAUGGAGAUGUCCCUGGUUCGAUUCCAUGACCAGGCG
rnacentral:tRNA from 1 species